GGGAAGGUAGCUUAACGGAAAAGCGGGACGGACGCGUGUCAACGUUGCUGGUUCGAUUCCAGCCCUUUCCACCA
rnacentral:tRNA from 1 species